GCGUCGUCGCUGCUGGCUGGCGCGCCAGCGGAGGUGACGGCACGCUUCAGUUUGUUCAAGAGUGCGGGUCUAGUUGCUCGGUUAUCCUAUUCCUGCGGCCUCGGCCUGUCCGCCUGUAUUUUAGGGGGCCCGUGGGGCGUGGGGGCACGGGCACCCGCACAAGCUGCGCUGCCAGUGCCAGCGCUCACUCGAACGCCGAGACCCGAGAGGAGCAAACAGCCAAAAAGAACGGAAAGGGGAGAGCAAACAGCCAAAAAAGGACGGACUUGCGCGACAGGGUCGAAGACUCAGAAGGGGAAUCUCCGGAGGAUGGAGGUGGGCAGGACUCCGCGGCGACGGGCGUCCCCAGCGGCAGCGGCGGCGGCGGCGGCGGCGGCUGUGCCUUCGCUGCUUCUGUUCGCCGUGCUAUUCGUGGGCCGGGCGGCGGCAGCGUUGGGCGGCCCGGGGCCGGCGCUAUACAAGCACGCGUCGUUCUUCGACCGCGACGGCGACGGCGUCGUCUCCUUCGCGGAGACGUACGGCGCGUUUCGGGCCCUCGGGUUUGGACUCGGCCUGUCCAGCGCCAGCGCCGCCUUCAUCAAUGGCGCCCUUGGCAGCAAGUGCAGACCUCAAAACGCGACGUCGUCGAAACUGGACAUCUACAUAGAGGACAUCCGGAGAGGGAAGCACGGGAGCGACUCCGGCUCGUACGACGCCCAAGGAAGGUUCGUUCCGGAGAAGUUCGAGGAGAUAUUCGCCAGGCACGCGAGGACGGUCCCCGACGCCCUGACCUCGGACGAGAUCGACCAGCUGCUCCAAGCGAACAGAGAGCCCGGGGACUACAGCGGCUGGGCUGGCGCGGAAGCGGAGUGGAAGAUCCUGUACAGUCUCGGCAAGGACGGGGACGGCCUCCUCCGCAAGGACGUCGCGAGGAGCGUCUACGACGGGACACUGUUCCACCGGCUCGCGCCCAGAUGGAAAUCUCCCGACAGCGACAUGGAGAGAAGCUGAUAAGCGUGGUCCGGGAGAACUGAACCGAGAGGACCGUCCUAUUGAUGUCGUCUUGCGCUGGGCUGCUCUGAACUGAACAAGUCUGGACAUGCCGUCAAGCGACAUGUGGGUGUGAACACUCUUUCGGGUCAGAUUAUUAACAAGAAGGGUGUGACCGUGUGAGUGUGAACAGAAUCGGCCGUAUAGAUGUACAUGAGGCACGGGCCCGUUGACCCGGCCCGAGGCCCGUUUUUUUGGCCCGGUUCGCGCCCGGCCCGGCACGUAUGGGAUGAGCCCGGGCUGGCACGGCCCAGUGGAGCAGGCCGUGCCUGGGCCGCUGGCCAGACACGUGGGCCGGCACGGCACGACCUGCUCCACGCGGACAACCCGGUCGGGGCCCGUAGCCGACGCCGCCCGUGCCCCUUACCUCCUCGCCUCCUCGCCCCAUGGGGCCCACCUCUCAGUCCCUCCGCUCGCGCUCGCACUCGCACCCUGCUCCCUCUCUCUCCCGACUCGGCGGCGAUUGACUUGGCGAUUGGCGAUUCCCCUCCGAUGCCUCCGUCGCGGCGCCGCCCCUGUCCAGCGACCUCGGCUCCCGUCCCCGACGCCGGUGACCUCGAUCCACCAGCUCCUCUCUAACCCCUCUCCCCUCUCUCUCGGUGAACUAUGUGAGUUCGUGUUGUCGUCUCGUCCUCCCCUCCGGCCCUCCCCAGCUCGCCGUCGUCUCUAAUCGGUCUCUGUCUGUCGUGUGUCGUCUGGGUGGCCCCCGUGUUCUCCGGCAUCGGGCUCCGGUAGCACAGGUCAGUUGCUGAUGCCUCGUCUUCCUCCUCUGGGGUAGAUCGGGCACGGCGACUGCGUGCUCCGUUGAGGGACGGUGCUGGAGAUCGACCGUCCGCGGUGAAGGUCGCCAUGGCGGAUGAUGACGAUGUCAAUCCGGUCACCGGCAACGACGACCUUCACGCGGCAGGGCUUGUCCCAGAUGACGAAGACGACAUCCAGGCUGACGCGGCUGCUUUGCUCGGUAUCGAUCUAACCUCUGCUCCUGUCGAUCUAAGUUCUAAUCCGACCAACGCUGGUGGAGGGCCUGCUACGGCCACCGAUACUCCGGUCGGCUCCACCAGCACCGAUGGUGGUACUGGUACCUCAUCUGUUGGUAAGCGUAAAUCUACUGUCUGGGUUGAUUUUGAUGAGGUAUUUGAGAAAGUGAAUGGGCCUGGGAGGAUUAUAUUGCCCGUGCUCAUAACCCUAGGUUUACCAAAGUGUCUAGACAGACCACCACUAGAGACCUUCUGAAGCUUUUCACUGAACGACGUAAUGUGCUUAUCAAUUCUGUGUUGCCUGCUACUUCUUCUAAUUCAAAGGCUAUGGAUACAUUGACACCUUUGUUUGCUGGUUAUUUGGGUCCUGAUCCUUCUUCUAACUACACUCUUAUGCAUCAACGUUGUGCUUGUCAUAUCAUUAAUCUCAUUGUUAAAUCUGGAAUGAAGAGACUGAAACCUUUUUUGGAAGAUUUUAGAACUGCAAUUAAUUUCUUAAAUGCUUCUAAUUCUAGAAUAGCAGCAUUUAAAGAGUACUGCUUAGCAAGGGGUGUUAGACCCAGAAAAUUUGGAUUGGAUAUGGAUGUUAGAUGGAAUUCUACUUAUUUGAUGCUUAAACACUUGGUCUCAUACAAAACUGUUUUUUCUGUCUUCAUCAAUUCACAUUAUGAGUCACAAUUAUUGCCUCCUAAUCAUUGGUAUGUUGCUGAGAAGAUUUUAGAGUUUCUAGAAUUGUACUAUGACUCUACUGUUGUUCUGUCUGGUGUUUAUUAUCCAACUAGUCCACUAGUUCUUCAUCAUAUUCUGGAAAUUGCAUCUCAUUUGAAAGCAUGUGAAAGAGAUUUAAAUCUUAGAACUAUUGUGUUUCCAAUGCAACUUAAAUUCCUUAAAUACUGGAGUGACAUACCUUUGCUAUAUUCAUAUGCAUUCAUUCUGGACCCUAGAGCUAAGAUGAGAGGUUUUUUUUAAUGUGUUGCAUUUACUUGGAGAGUGCACUGGGUGUGAGUACAGUACAUAUUAUGCUGAUGUAAAAAAUGAAUUGUAUAAACUGUUUACUAAAUAUGAGACUAAGUUUGGUGCAGUUAGGGCUCAAAGGGCUGCUCAGCCUUCUAUUCAUACAGGUAAAAGAAAACAAGCUUGGGGAAGAAUAUUUGGAGAUUCUAGUUCAGGUGUUGUUGGUCCUCCCCUAGCUCUACCCCUUCUGCUUCAUCUUCAUCUGCUAUUUGUGAGCUCUCAGCCUACUUAGACAGUGACAAUGUCACUUCUUAUGAGGAUGAUUUUGAUAUACUUCUCUGGUGGCGUGACCACAAGCUAACAUAUCCAGUUUUAUCCAUAAUGGCAAAGGAUAUUAUGUCUGUUCCUGUAUCUACUGUCUCUUCGGAGUCUUGUUUCAGUUUGACAGGGAGGAUAAUCGAGGAGCGACGACGACGCUUAUUGCCUGAGAAUGUGGAGAUGCUGACUUGCUUAAAAGAUUGGGAAUUAGGAGAAAAGAGAGAACAACAUGCUGUUGACAAUCCAGAGCUUGAGGACUCAUUCCAGAAUUUAUUUCUUGAUGAAGAUGAACCUGUUGCUGCUUAGUUGUAGUCUUCUAGACUAUGAUGUGGUCAUCUGACAUGUGCUUUCACUGCUUUGUCAUUGAGUGAUUGUGAGAGAGUCAUUUUGUAUUGUAAUAUACAUUUGUAACAGAUACAAACUUAGUGAUUAAACUUUGAGCUGGCUGCACUCUUUUUUCCUUUCUAGGGUUUCUCACAAGGGUGAGUUUUACCUAGAAAGGUUUUUAAUGAGGCAGCAUUGCACAAAACAACUCAUUUA